GACGAACGCUGGCGGCGUGCUUAACACAUGCAAGUCGAACGGAAAGGCCCUGCUUUUGUGGGGUGCUCGAGUGGCGAACGGGUGAGUAACACGUGAGUAACCUGCCCUUGACUUUGGGAUAACUUCAGGAAACUGGGGCGAAUACCGGAUAGGAGCUCCUGCUGCAUGGUGGUGGUUGGAAAGUUUCGGCGGUAGGGGAUGGACUCGCGGCUUAUCAGCUUGUUGGUGGGGUAGUGGCUUACCAAGGCUUUGACGGGUAGCCGGCGUGAGAGGGUGACCGGCGACAUGGCGACUGAGAUACGGCGCAGACGCCUACGGGAGGCAGCAGUGGGGAAUAUGACACAGUGGGGGGGAGCCUGAUGCAGCAGCGCCGCGUUCGGAAUGACGGCCUUUGGGUUGUAAACCGCUUUCGCCUGUGACGAAGCGUGAGUGACGGUAAUGAGUAAAGAAGCACCGGCUAACUACGUG
rnacentral:rRNA from 1 species